rnacentral:lncRNA from 1 species
ACUUCUUCUUGAAGACGAGAUUCUCGGUUCUGCGUUGUUAACCAUUGUUGAAAGAUAUGGCCUGUUGUGAUUCUCUCUGAGGCUUUCUUCUUCUGCCCAUGUGAGCUCCAUUCUAUGGAAGAAUGGCUCUUCCAUUAUCUCUUUCUGCUCUGAAGUUGAAUCUCCAAUAUAUGUUCUUAAUCCCAGUCUGUUGUCAAGCAUCUUUGGGGCUUUCUGAGUUCCUUCACUUGAGGUUAGGCAACUGUCCAGGGAGGAGUUAGGUGGAUACGUUUUUUGCAUCUGUUGAUGGUGUAGAUUCUGCAGUUCUUUCGGUUCGAGGAAACUAGAGUCUGGAUAGUCUGCUGAUACUUUAGAUACUAAUUCUGAGAGUUGAGCUUUUGUUGCUUCAAUCCCAGCUGCACCUAGGUUCUGUCUUCCAAGAGUCUCUUGUGCUUUCUCCAGAAUCGAUUGCAGAGUACAGUAUAUGAUAGAUACCUCAAGUUGCUCGUGUAGCCGUCUCUGGACCUCUAUUUGCAUUUGAAGGGCAUCACUUAUGGGUAAGUUCCUGCGUGCACAAAUAUAGGUCAUUUUUGAGAAUCUACUAAGGUAGAAUAUGUAAGCAAAUAGGCAUAUCCUUACAUGCUCGGCUGUGGUCCAAUGCUUAAACUCUCACUGUGACUUUCGUCUACUUCAGGGGGGUUUUCUUCUACCAUGGUCAUCACACCUAAACCAGGUUGCUUUUAGUUUACUUGAAGGAAAAUAGUAUGAAAAAAGAAUGAAUCUUUAGAUUAAAAUAUUUUUGUAUCUGAGUAAUGAAUAACUAAGCUUACUUGUCUUGUUUAAACUGCUGUUAGCUUGUCCAUUAAGAUUCUUGCUUAGCCUAUAUUUCUGGUAGUCAAAUCAUGAUAUUAAUAAUCUUUGUAAAACAAAAAACAGAUAUUACAGAUUUUUCAUAUCUUGACAUAUCGUCAUUUUUGUGCUACUUUAAUAGUUUUCUACCAAUCGAAUUGAUGAACGAGUCAUGUAAGUUUAGGGCCUUGGGCAUAUGACUGUAUAAAGUGUUGAUGGAUUACCUGAAGAUGACUCUUGAGAUGGUAUAAGAUAACUUACUAUCUCCUCCUCCAAGCUGGUUGACCGCUUCAACAAAUCUCUCGUGAAGAUCUGGAGUCCAUUUUAGUCGUGGCUUUGCAUCAGUGGAGAGAAUGAGUCCAGAAUCUCCUGUGCCAUUUCCUCUGAGGAACGGAUGCCUUUCAGAAGAAAUGGGCAUUCUCGAUGAAGAGAGGAUGCUCUUUCCUUGGUGCUGGUUGUGGUAAUACAUAAGUCUGUCUUCAAAAUAAAAAGGCCGGGGUCUCUCAAGAGUAAAAAGUCUUUGCAACUUUGCUUUAUAUAGAAAGUUGAAUGGCAAAAAGGCAAAUUAGAGGAUGAUAACUAAGGGGAAUUCAUUCUUUUUCCUUAUUCCUCAAUUUUUUCAAAGUCCACAGCUCCAACCUCUCUAUCUCUUGAGGGAGCAUAAUUCAACACGUGGGAUUGUGAUUCGCUUGAUUGAAUGAGAGAGGAUUGGAUACAUAAAACAGGAGGAAGCGGGAAAUGACCGCGGAAUUAUAUUCGUUUGGAGAGAAAAUGGAGGGUAAUAAGUGGGUUCGUUCAUGAGAUUCUAGAGAAUGAGAAUAUGAGAAUCCAAAACUAAAGAAAGCUUGGUGAGUCGCAUUCUCAACUCAAGAAUCUUUUUUGUUCAUCACAACCCGAACCCAAAAAAAAAAAGAGACUAUUCGGGUCUAUUUCUUUCCCCUUUUACUUAGUCUCGAUUUUUGUGGAUAUUUUAAUGAAUUGUGAUUCUUAUAAGCACAACAAAAGAUUAGGAGAAUCAUUGUAGGAGUUUUGUGUUCACCACAAGGCAGUGUUGUCUGCAUCCAACCGAAUCAUGUAGCAGUUUUGUUAUAUUGGUUUGAAUAUUAUGAAACUAUAAAAAAUCGAGGGCACUGCGACUGGACGCAAACGCAAAUGCUGGCUAAAUUAUUCGACAAGUCGGAUCAUUAUAAAGAGUUGAUUGUCUAGUUGCAAGUAGUUG